GUUCCUUCUCCUUCCAAAGUCUCCCCAGCUGCUCAAGGAGUCUCCCGCCUUGGACGGAUGGGCCGUGCCAAGCAUUUGGGAAACAGCUGUUUGACCACGUGGCCCAAGCCUACCCUUUUGGGGUGCAGAUUAGAAGGCAGGUGGGUGGGAAAUGGGUCUGAAUCACCGCGGGGACUGACUAGUCUGUGGAAGCCCUGGAUGACAGGGGUACAGGGCCAGCAAACCAGGGGAGCCGCAGGCAGGGUGACCGAUGGUGCCGGUUUGCCUGGGACUGUCCUAGGUUUAUCAGUGAACCUUCCACCUACUGGAAACUCCCUCGGCCCUGGGCUCACUGGGACCAUUGGUCACCCAAGCACAUCAGACGCCCCCUAAGCAGGAUCCUAACACUUCUUGGAUAACAAGGUUGAGGGCAGAUCGGGUGUGGCUACUGGGGAGCUGACAAGGACAACCCCAGCACCUCACCCCCGGUGUUGUGGGCUGCCAGCCUUUCUCUUCUUGCAUAAUUUCCCCCCAGAUGUCAGACACCCUAUGAAAUGAAAGCUGAGACUUUUCCAGCCACAGGGCCUGUUCAGGCUAGACCCUCUGCCUGGACCUGCCUUCCUCCCCUCCUUUCCUCCAGCAACAAAGGUUUAUUGUAUAGUACAGGGAACUGUAGUCAUUAUCUUGUAAUAACUUAUUAUGGAAAAUAAUUUUAAAAAUAAUGUAUGUGCACAACUGAAUCACCUUGCUAUGUACCUUAAACAUUGUAAGGCAACUAUACAUCAAUAACAAAUAAAUAUAUAUUAAAAAGGAAAGAAAUCUUACUCAUGGCUCAAGAUCCAGGUCAACUCUCAGCCCCCAUUUCCUCACCUGCUGGCUGGACAGCCGGGUUCCAGGCAGAGUGGCAGUCACCCCUCCCCUCACACGACCCCUCUGGGACCCUGUGAAAAUCCCUCCAGCCUGCUGCUGGUGUCCACAGGCAAGGUGCUGGGACACCUCCAUCUCCUCGUCCACACAACAGAAACGUAAGAGAAGCGACCUCUUAGGGAUACCAGGACACACACCUCCCUUCUCCCCUGGUCCUUUCCUCUCACCUACUUAAGAACUGGAAGCCCAGAGUGUGAUUUGGGGAAGCCACUAUGGAGAACAGUACGGAAGUUCCUCAAGAAAUUAAAGAGUUGCCAUUUGAUCCAGCAAGCCCACUCCCAGGCAUAGAUCUGGACAAAACUAUNNNNNNNNNNNNNNNNNNNNNNNNNNNNNNNNNNNNNNNNNNNNNNNNNNNNNNNNNNNNNNNNNNNNNNNNNNNNNNNNNNNNNNNNNNNNNNNNNNNAUUCAAGAAGAUACAUGCACCCCAAUGUUCAUAGCGGCAUCAUUUACAACAGCCAAGAUGUGGAAACAGCCUAAAUAUCCAGCGACAGAUGAAUGGACAAAGAUGUGGUGCGUAUACACCAUGGAAUACGACUCAGCCAUCACAAAGAAUGACAUCACGCCAUUUGCAGCUACACGGAUGGACCCAGAGGUGACCGCACCAAGAAAAGUCAGAGAAAGACAAAUACAUGAUGUGACUUAUACACAGAAUCUAAAAUAAGGCACAAGCGAACCUAUCGACAAAACAGAGAGACUCACAGACACAGAUAACAGACUUGUGGUUGCCAAGGGGGAGGGGGCGGGGGAAGGAUGGAUUGGGAGUCAGGGAUUAGCAGAGGCAACCUGUCACAGUAUAGCCCAGGGAGCUCUAGUCAGUAUUCUGUGAUACACCGCGAUGGGAAAGGAGACGGAAAAGAAUGUGUGUAUAUGUGUGGCUGAGUUACUUUGCUGUGCAGAAGAAAAUGGACACGCUGUGAAUCAACUGUACUUCAAAUGAAAAAAAAAAAAGGAACCGGGCUUACAUAUGUAUCCAUCCCAGGCUGGCCUUUAGCUCUCUGUACACACGGGAUGUUUGAUUGUUAAAUCGCAGAUUUCAAAAACCUCCUUUCAAAGGCCUUGAAAGAGCCUUUGGCAAGACAACUACGAGCACAGGGAACAUCUGUCACGUGCUUACCACGGCCCUGUGAUGUUCUAGGCUGCAGCCGCUUUGAAUUCAGACAUCGCUGCUGGUCUAUCACGUGCUGACCACAUGCCAGUCACGGCACAGAGUGCUCCACACCAGUAAUUCUCAGCAGGGCUGAGUUGGACCCCAGGGGACUCGAGGCAACAUCUGGAGACAUUUUUGUUGCCACGACUGGGGGAGCGGUGCUACUGGCAUCUAGUAGGUGGAGGUCUAGGACGAUGCCUGAUGCCCUACAAAGCACAGGGCAGCCCCCUAUCGCGAA
rnacentral:lncRNA from 1 species